UCCCCGUUGCCGGGGCAGUCUAGCCAGAGAAAUUCAACUGACUAUAAGGGUUGCGCUCGUUGAUGGACUUAACCAAACGUCUCACGACACGAGCUGACGACGGCCAUGCAGCAUCUGUCACCGGGUUCCCGAAGGCACUCUUUCCUUUCAGAAAGAUUCCCGGGAUGUCAAACCCUGGUAAGGUUCUGCGCUUAAUAUCGGAUUAAACAACACGCUCCACCGCUUGUGCAGGUCCCCGUCAAUUCCUUUGAGUUUUAAUCUUGCGACCGUACUCCUCAGGCGGGAUGCUUAACGCGUUAGCUUCGCUACUAGAAGGGUCGAUACUUCUAACAGCUAGCAUCCAUAGUUUACGGCGUGGACUA
rnacentral:misc_RNA from 1 species